UAACGAAUCUUCCGCAAUGCACGAAAGUGUGACGGAGCGACGCCGCGUGUGGGACGAAGCCCUUCGGGAUGUAAACCACUGUCAGGGGUUAGAAAGUUCUGAUCAACCCCAGAGGAAGGCACGGCUAACUCUGUGCCAGCAGCCGCGGUAAGACAGAGGUGCCGAGCGUUAGGCGGAAUCACUGGGCUUAAAGCGUGUGUAGGCGGAUCUCUAAGUACCUUGUGAAAUCCCACGGCUCAACCGUGGAACUGCUCGGUAUACUGGAGAUCUUGAGCCACCUAGGGGCGAGCGGAACAAAUGGUGGAGCGGUGAAAUGCGUAGAUAUCAUUUGGAACGCCAAUGGUGAAAACAGCUCGCUGGGGGUGUGCUGACGCUGAGACACGAAAGCCAGGGGAGCAAACGGGAUUAGAUACCCCCGUAGUCC
rnacentral:rRNA from 1 species